rnacentral:rRNA from 1 species
CCAAUAGCGUAUAUUAAAGUUGUUGCAGUUAAAAAGCUCGUAGUUGAAUUUCGGGAUCAAUAUGUCGGUCGUGCCUUCGGUACGUACUGGCAUCAUUGAUUUCUCCCUUCUGUCGAACCACGAUGUCAUUAAUUUGGUGUCUUGGGGAGUCAGGCCUGUUACUUUGAAAAAAUAAGAGUGUUUAAAGCAGGCACACGCUGGAAUACAUUAGCAUGGAAUAGUGAAAUAGGACGUUUGAUCCUAUUUUGUUGGUUUCUAGGAUCAACGUAAUGAUUAAUAGGGAUAGUUGGGGGCAUUAGUAUUCAAUUGUCAGAGGUGAAAUUCUUGGAUUUAUUGAAGACUAACUACUGCGAAAGCAUUUGCCAAGGAUGUUUUCAUUAAUCAAGAACGAAAGUUAGGGGAUCGAAGACGAUCAGAUACCGUCGUAGUCUUAACCAUAAACUAUGCCGACUAGGGAUCGGAUGAUGUUAAUUUUUUAAUGACUCAUUCGGCGCCUUACG